rnacentral:lncRNA from 1 species
GACAUAACUAUACAAUGUCUGUGUUGCAGAUUGCCUGUAUGUCUGAAACCCCUCUUAUCCCCCAGUAUGUUUGAGACAGUAUACAGCUCGUUAUACAGAAUGAGCUCUGGGCUCCAGAGAUAGCCUCCAGGGAGAGGCUGAGCUGGUAUGCUGCUCACCCCGCUGCCAGGCCUCCCUCCCCUGGGUACCACCUCUCCUUCAUGGGCUCUCCUCUGUCUGGCUCUCUGGCUGAGAUGUAGCAUAGCGUAGCACUAGACUGGAGAUCCAGCCCUGGAUGUAGCAUAGCGUAGCACUAGACUGGAGAUCCAGCCCUGGAUGUAGCAUAGCGUAGCACUAGACUGGAGAUCCAGCCCUGGAGGUAGCAUAGCAUAGCACUAGACUGGAGAUCCAGCCCUGGAGGUAGCAUAGAGUAGCACUAGACUGGAGAUCCAGCCCUGGAGUUAGCAUAGCAUAGCACUAGACUGGAGAUCCAGCCCUGGAUGUAGCAUAGCGUAGCACUAGACUGGAGAUCCAGCCCUGGAGGUAGCAUAGCGUAGCACUAGACUGGAGAUUCAGCCCUGGAGGUAGCAUAGCGUAGCACUAGACUG